rnacentral:rRNA from 1 species
CCUACGGGGGGCAACAGUGAGGAAUAUUGGUCAAUGGACGCAAGUCUGAACCAGCCAUGCCGCGUGCAGGAAGACGGCCCUAUGAGUUGUAAACUGCUUUUGUACGAGGGUAAACGCAGAUACGCGUAUCUGUCUGAAAGUAUCGUACGAAUAAGGAUCGGCUAACUCCGUGCCAGCAGCCGCGGUAAUACGGAGGAUUCAAGCGUUAUCCGGAUUUAUUGGGUUUAAAGGGUGCGUAGGCGGUCGGAUAAGUUAGAGGUGAAAUCCCGAGGCUCAACUUCGGAAUUGCCUCUGAUACGGUGCGGCUAGAGAGUAGUUGCGGUAGGCGGAAUGUAUGGUGUAGCGGUGAAAUGCUUAGAGAUCAUACAGAACACCGAUUGCGAAGGCAGCUUACCAGGCUACUUCUGACGUUGAGGCACGAAAGCGUGGGGAGCAAACAGGAUUAGAUACCCUAGUAGUC